rnacentral:rRNA from 1 species
GGAUGAACGUUGGCGGUGUGCCUAAUACAUGCAAGUCGAACGGAGACUGUAGCAAUACUGUCUUAGUGGCGAACGGGUGAGUAACGCGUUGGUGAUCUGCCUCGAAGUGUGGAAUAACCUCCCGAAAGGGAAGCUAAUACCGCAUAGUCUCUCAAGGUUUAGAAAAUUGAGAGUAAAGGAUUUAUUCGCUUCGAGAGGAGCCUGCGUCCCAUCAGCUAGUUGGUAGGGUAACGGCCUACCAAGGCUAUGACGGGUAGGGGACCUGAGAGGGUGGCCCCCCACAAUGGAACUGAAACACGGUCCAUACACCUACGGGUGGCAGCAGUAGGGAAUAUUAGAAAUGGGCGGAAGCCUGAUCUAGCAACACCGCGUGUGCGAUGAAGGCCUUCGGGUCGUAAAGCACUUUUUGGAGGGAAUAGGAAGGAAGGUACCUCCAGAAUAAGUCUCGGCUAACUACGUGCCAGCAGCCGCGGUAACACGUAGGAGGCAAACGUUAUCCGGAUUCACUGGGCGUAAAGCGCGUGCAGGUGGUUUCGUAAGUAGGGCGUGAAAGCUCCCGGCUCAACUGGGAGAGGCCGUACUAAACUGCGGAGCUAGAGGAUGGUAGAGGGAGGUGGAAUUCCAGGUGUAGUGGUGAAAUGCGCAGAUAUUCUGGAGGAACACCAGUGGCGAAGGCGGCCUCCUGGACCAUACCUGACACUCAGACGCGAAAGCUAGGGUAGCAAACGGAAUUAGAGACUCCGGUAGUCCUAGCCCUAAACGAUGCAGACUAGGCGUCGGCGGUUUAAUCACCGUCGGUGUCCAAGCUAACGCGAUAAGUCUGCCGCCUGAGGACUACGGCCGCAAGGCUAAAACUUAAAGGAAUUGACGGGUCCCCGCACAAGCAGCGGAGCGUGUGGUUUAAUUCGAUGCUCCGCGAAGAACCUUACCUGGGUUUGACAUAACAGUGGUAGAGAAGUGAAAACGGACCGACCCUUCGGGGAGCUGUUACAGGUGUUGCAUGGCUGUCGUCAGCUCGUGUCGUGAGAUGUUCGGUUAAGUCCGCUAACGAGCGCAACCCGCGCUGUGUGUUACAAGUGUCACACAGUACCGCCGGUAUUAAGUCGGAGGAAGGUGCGGAUGACGUCAAGUCAGCAUGACCUUUAUAUCCAGGGCUACACACACGCUACAAUGGUCAGCACAAUAGGUUGCCAAGCCGCAAGGCGGAGCCAAUCCUCCAAAGCUGGCCUCAGUUCAGAUUGCAGGCUGCAACUCGCCUGCAUGAAGUCGGAGUUGCUAGUAACCGCAGGUCAGAAUACUGCGGUGAAUACGUUCCCGGGGAU